rnacentral:tRNA from 1 species
AGUGGAGUAGAGCAGUUGGUAGCUCGUCGGGCUCAUAAUCCGAAGGCCAAUGGUUCAAGUCCAUUCUCCGCUA